GAGCACCUCUCGCUGGACAUUGGGCUACGAUGGCUUCCAGCCGCAGACGAUGUCGUGCCACGGCGGGAGCAACGACCAAAGGGAGCCUACUCGAGGAAUUCCUGAUGCAACCGGAGCGCGGCCUCGAGUGCGUCGGCGUCGGCGGCGGAGGAAGCUACUACGCGGGCACCGUCGACGAGACGCAUGCGUUGGGCGCACAAAUUCCAUCCGAGAUAAUUGAGGUAGAAGCAACACUGCAGAUUGAUUAGUCUACAAACCAUGACAAAGUUUUUCAGUAUCCCUAUUCAUUUGUAGUCAGACAAUGAAUCGUUCAGCCUUUGUAUCUCGCAGAGAAUUGAGGCAGGAGCAGGACAAGAGAUGGCAGCAAUCACUGAAGUCAAGUCAUCUGUUUCUAUGGAUGUCGAGAAAAGUAAGGAAGUAUCAGGAAAAAAUAAUAUGUCAGCCAGCAAGUAACCUGUUUCUACGGAUGAGGAGGAAAUGGAUCUCAACAUCGAAUCAACCAAUGUUGAUGAUUUUGAUAAUAGGCCUCUAAAAAAGGCCAAAAGUUCUAAAACAUGUGUUUCAGAUGAUCCAUUGUCAUCUUUUACCAUCUCCACUGCAUCUAUCGCUCCGAAAUGUUCUGACUCUGUUAGUUUAGAAUUGAAUGUUAGUUUAGAAUUGAUGAAUGAAGAUCCAUUGCCUCCAUCACCAAACCAACUGGCCUUAUCUCCGGUUUCAGCGGAAGAUGAUAAUCAUAUAACAAAUAAUUUAACAUACGAGUAUCUCCCAUAAGGUAAAAUAUUGCAUUGUUUAUGUUUGUGUAUUUAUUCGACAUAUUUAGCGAGGAGCUCGUAAUGGUUUUGUUGGGAUUGAUUAUGUAGGUUGUGAAUAAACAAAUACGUGACCAAUAUAUUGGUUUCUCCCGGUGCAACGCACAUGCACUUUUGCUAGUCUUAUCUAACAUCUUGUCGUGUUACAUUUUCUGUUUUCCACUUGAACUACGAUUCACUGGCGGAGCUUCGUGAGGGCAGAACUGGGCCACGGCCCACCCUGCCCUGGAGCGGAAAAAAAUCCUAUACCUAUGCCGCAUGUGCAAAGCCCACAUCCACACCACGUGAGAGCCGAGUAGCACUUCGUUUCCAGAGACCAGACCAGUCCGUCGCUUGGUUUCGUGUUCCUCCACGAUGCAUCACAUCCCCAAUUCCCCAUCGACGGCGCUAGUUCCAGCGACGAAAAUAGCAGCUGGGCCAUCGACCGGCGACCAUCCCAUCCAUCAGGCAGAAGCGAAGGAAAUGUUUGAUGAAGGAAAUAUUUGAGAUAACUGAAUUGCUUGGCCAAGCUUUACAGAAGAAGUCACAAGAUAUUGUGAAUGCUAUUCGUCUAGUGUCAUCAACAAAAGAGUGUCUCGAGCAAUUGAGAUCAGAUGAUGGUUAUGAAGAAUUUAUUGUCAUGGUUAUUGAAUUUUGUGGAAAGCAUUCGAUUGAGAUUCCUAACUUUGACGAAAUUUAUGUCAUGCGGGGUGGUCGUGCUCGCCAUCAACACGAUCAGCUUACCAAGGAACAGUACUUACGAGUGGAAAUAUUUCGUGCAACACUGGACACUCAACUAUUUGAAAUCAACCGCAGUUCAAUGAGAAGGUUUUUCUUUCAAGCUCCGCCACUGC